CCUACGGGUGGCAGCAGUGGGGAAUAUUGCACAAUGGGGGAAACCCUGAUGCAGCGACGCCGCGUGAGUGAAGAAGCGUUUCGGCGCGUAAAGCUCUGUCAGCGGGGAAGAAAAACGGUUCGCGAGAGGCGCGGACGGUACCCGACCAAGAAGCCGCGGCUAAGUACGUGCCAUCAGCCGCGGGAAUACGUAGGGUGCAAGCGUUAUCCGGAUUUACUGGGGGUAAAGGGAGCGUAGGGGGCGAGCCAAGGCUGGAGUGAAAGGCCGGGGCCCAACCCCGGGACUGCACUGGAAACUGCCUUGCUGGAGUACAGGAGAGGUAAGUGGAAUUUCUAGUGUAGCGGUGAAAUGCGUAGAUAUUAGGAGGAACACCAGUGGCGAAGGCGGCUUACUGGACUGUAACUGACGUUGAGGCUCGAAAGCGUGGGGAGCAAACAGGAUUAGAUACCCUUGUAGUC
rnacentral:rRNA from 1 species